AUUGAACGCUGGCGGCAUGCCUUACACAUGCAAGUCGAACGGCAGCACGGGAGCAAUCCUGGUGGCGAGUGGCGAACGGGUGAGUAAUAUAUCGGAACGUGCCCAGUCGUGGGGAUAACGUAGAGAAUUUACGCUAAUACCGCAUACGAUCUAAGGAUGAAAGCGGGGGACCGUAAGGCCUCGCGCGAUUGGAGCGGCUGAUAUCAGAUUAGGUUGUUGGUGAGGUAAAAGCUCACCAAGCCGACGAUCUGUAGCUGGUUUGAGAGAACGACCAGCCACACUGGGACUGAGACACGGCCCAGACUCCUACGGGAGGCAGCAGUGGGGAAUUUUGGACAAUGGGCGAAAGCCUGAUCCAGCAAUGCCGCGUGCAGG
rnacentral:rRNA from 1 species